AGUUGGCAAUUAACUUCCUCAAAGAAGUUAUGUGAGAAUGAAUGAGACCUAAGCAUUGCCUCUUCCGUCUGGCAGCUAUUAGCCUUUAUUAGUUACAGUGUUCAUGCUGGGGCAGGUGCUGUUUUCAGAUCUCAAUGGAUAUUCACUCAUUGAACCCUCACAAGGCCAUGAGGCACAUUCUAUUAUCCCUGUUUUGUAGAGGAGGAAACAGACUUCUGAAGCUAAGUAACUUGUCCAAGCUAACACAGCUAAUAAGUAGCAGAUCCAGUAUCAACGUAGGCAGUAUGGCUCCUCCGUUUCCUCCACCAUAUGCCUGGCGGUUAGUACAGAAAUAGAAACCAUCACUAUGAUAGCAAAUACAGUGUUUAGUAUUCCUUUCAACAAUUCGUUUUAUGCUUCCUCCUAUAAAGUUACACUGGGGAGAAAACAAAUAAAUGAACGGAGUGUCCAUUUAUCCUCAUCUAACAUUAAUUGUUACAUGCCCCAAACAAAUAGGAAAAAGACUUAUUUCAGAAAACAAUAUGUAUGUAAGUGGCCACUAGAGAUAGUCUUCUAUAUUGUUUGUAUUCAUUCCUGGGACAUGUAUUUAGAGACUUCUGUGUUCCAGGCCUGUGCUAGAUCUGGUAAAACAAAAAUGAGUAAAAGGUGAUAUUUAUUCUCAAGAAUCUCACACCUCCUUCUUCUAUGAUAGAUUCUUACAAGCCCUUUGAUAUUUAGUAGAGGCAGUUCUUUCCUCUGGAAACUUACAGUGUCCCUUCUGCAUUGGGAUCUUAGUACAACAUUGCUGUGCAAACUUGGACCAGGGCAGGGUGAGAUAGCAGAGGAGCUGUGCCAGCAUCUACAGCGAAAGGAAAGGAUGCUGCAGGACCUUCUAAGUGAUUGAAACAAACUAGUGGUGGAAGAUGAAAUGGAGAUUCAAAGCCUGCUUCAGUCUAUGAGCACCAGGGAGCAGGAAAGCCAAAAGAGAGAAGAUGGUGCAAGCCUUAAUGGAAAGAAAUUCAGAAUUACAGGCCCUGCGCCAAUAUUUAGGAGGGAGAGACUCCCUGAUGUCCCAAGUACCCAUCUCUAACCAACAAGCUGGAGUUACCUACAUUGGCCCCUGCUUUUGUAGAAAAGACUGAUCAAUUUUUUAGGGUUCAAUGCAGAUACCUUCCAGAGAUGGUAGCACUUCAUUGACUGCCAAAUAGGAUGCCAGCAUACCCAGAUCCACAUUAGGAGACUUGGACACAGUUGCAGGGCUGGAAAAAGAACUGAGUAAUGCCAAAGCGGAAUUUGAACUUAUGGCUAAAAAAGAAAGAAAAAGUCAAUUGCUGCUGAUGGUAGAAGGACUAGUAGAUGAAUGGAGUCAACUCAGUGAGGCCUUACAAGCAGAGAGACAGCUGUAUAGCAGUCUGGUGAAGUUCCAUGUCCAUCCAGAGAGCUCUGAGAGAGACCGAACUCUGCAAGUGGAACUGGAAGGGGCUCAGGUGUUACGCAGUCGGCUAGAAGAAGUUCUUGGAAGAAGCGUGGAGCGCUUAAACAGGCUGGAGACCCUGGCCGCCAUUGGAGGUGGGGAACUGGAAAGUGUGCGAAUUCAUCACAAGCAUGCCUACUGAGCACUGGCAGGUCAGACUGCAGCCCAGGAUGGAAAACCUUGUUUGUAAUAACCAGAAAGAUCCUUAUCUGACUUUGACAGAAUUAAAUGGUGACUUACUAAUGAUAGAACUGGUACAAGUAGCAUCAACUACAAAGUGAAACUCACUUUAGCCUACAUGGAUCUCACUGUACAUACAUAUUCCUAAAUUGAAUGGUAGAGGUUGCAAAGUGUAUUUGCACAUUUUAAAUCAUUCUGUUUUAGUUUUUCCACUUUUAUUCAUUCGUAUCCCUAGCCCCUUCUCAUUCCCUCGUCCCUUCUGUGGGCCAAUAAAGUUUAUUCUUCCCCCAUUUUCACAAUCCAUUUCAUAUGUUCCAUAUCAUAUCAUAAAUGCAUGUGUGUGUAUUAUUUUUGCCAUUCAGUCAACUCCUCUUUGAGUGACAGCAUUUUUUAAAUCAAGAGAAUACAAGUUUUAAGAUGAGAGAGUGGGAAAGAGAUUGAGAGUCUAUAAGAAUGACUUUGUAAAAGUGAUAUAAUCCUUAUCAGAAGGUAAUCAAAACCAGGAGAGUAGUCUUGUAAUAGUAGACUGCAAGUACUGGGAAGGCCAAGUUAAAGAACAGAGGCAAAAACUGUGAAAGUUAUCAUAGUAAACUUUUAUCUCCAAUACUGUCUCAGAGUUGACUGUUGUACACAAGUGAAAUUAGAUUAGGUACAGAUUAAUUUCUAUUUAAAGUUUGUUCUUUAUUGAUACCAUUAGGUUUCUUUAAACUAAAGUCAUGCUAUUUAGUCAGAACAUGACUUCUAGAAUGGUCUUCCAGAGUCAGAAUUCUCUGUCUACAAAGAUAAUUUCAAAUGUAGUAUCCCUUUUUAUAUUCAGUGUUUCACCAAAUAACUCAUUAUAGCCAAAGGAGGGUAUUGCUUCAUCCAUUUGUGGCACUAGAUAGGGUCCUAAGUUUUUCACUAUUUAGUAUGUAUACAUUUCUCUAUAUAAAAAGAAGUAAUCGGCUUCAGGCUUUGAAGUGCUCGAAUAGUUUAAAAAGAAAUCUUACAGAUGUAUGUUCAUAGUUUUAAUCAUUGUCUCAAUGCUUUUUUGUGGCAACACGACAGGUAUAAGGAGAGGGGCACUGGAGAUUGUAUUUCUGAUGUCUUGACAGUCAAGAGUGUGAAAAGUAACCAAUAUUGGUUUGCAGCUUUGUGGGUUCAACAUCAUGAAUUUGUUUUUAUUUCCUCUGGUUUUAAGUUUCCUAGGUUAGAAACUGAGGUUUCAGUUACUUUAAACAUGGAAUUUGGAAACAGCUUUGUAGCAUAAUAAAUGUGACUGAAUACCCUUUCUAAACUAAGUGGGGCACAAUGAUUUUUUUCCUUCCAUUUUUUUUUUACAUGACACUUUAUUUCUUUCACAUGUUGACAUGGCUUGUAUUACAUUCUAAAUUUCAUCUGUUUCUGUAACUUUAGCUGUGUCUAUAACAGAUAGAGCAUCAGUUAAACUAGAUGGACAGGGAGAAAAUGUUCUACUGGGGAAGCACUCUGGAAUCUUCUGAUUAAGUAAUUUGCAAAAGAUUGAUAGCCAUAAGCCUUACUCUUAAUGGAUCUGCCAUUUCAGUUUCAAUGCCUUUUGUGGAAAAAGGAGUCAUUUAAGGAAGGAGAUAGGAAGUGUAGGCAGAUCCAUCCACUUUUCUUAGUCUCCCAGUUUUAAGAAACCAUUUAUUGCACAAAAUGUUUUGUAACUUUCCAGAAGUAAAGAGGAAGGUAAUGGAGCUGUAGAAAUGCCAACCCAUCAAAGACUAGUUUGUCGUGUCAUUACAAUAGGUCAUUUAGGGAACCUCUUUCCUUAAUUUUACUAAUAGACCAAGGAAGCCCUCUGAGUCUGCUAUUAACAUUCGGCUCUGGGUGAUUCUUUGUUUCUAAUGGCUCAUAGUGAUUACAGUUUAUGUUAAUAAUCACUCCUACUUCUGUCAACAUCCAGCAAGAGUAGAUUGAAAGAAGGAUAAAUUAAAAGUCUGAUCUUAAUCUCAUAAGUGUGACUAAAAUAUGGCACUAACUUUUUCUUGUCUAGAUAGCUGGAAUGAGGCUUACAAACAGUGUUAUCUGGAGAAAGCUUGCUGGUCUAACAACCUUGGGUGUUGGAUACAUCAUUUAAUAGUACUUAGCAUGAUAUAAUAUUCCAUUUUCUCUUCAGGAGCACAGACUCUUUCUCAUACUGGAUUAUUCUAACUUUGACAGUCAUAUUUCAACAUGACAGUAAUUUUAGAUAAAGCAUCGUGUGCUUAUAGAACCUUCUGCUUGAGUAAAAAUAAUUUUCAAAUAGAAAUAAUGAAGUAGAAACAAGAUAGGGGGGCCAAGAUGGCCGAAUAGGAACAGCUCCAGCCUCCAGCUCCCAUUGUG